GAUGGACGCUGGCGGCGUGCCUAAUACAUGCAAGUCGAGCGAACGGACGAGAAGCUUGCUUUUCUGAUGUUAGCGGCGGACGGGUGAGUAACACGUGGAUAACCUACCUAUAAGACUGGGAUAACUUCGGGAAACCGGAGCUAAUACCGGAUAAUAUUUUGAACCGCAUGGUUCAAAAGUGAAAGACGGUCUUGCUGUCACUUAUAGAUGGUUCCGCGCUGCAUUAGCUAGUUGGUAAGGUAACGGCUUAUCAAGGCAACGAUGCAUAGCCGACCUGAGAGGGUGAUCGGCCACACUAGAGCUGGAACACGGUCCAGACUCCUACGGGAGGCAGCAGUAGGGAAUCUUCCGCAAUAGGCGACAGCCUGACGGAGCAACGCCGCGCGAGUGAUGAAGGUAUUCGGAUCGUAAAACCGUGUUAUUAGGGAAGAACAUAUGUGUAAGUAACUGUGCACAUCUUGACGGUACCUAAUCAGAAAGCCACGGCUAACUACGUG
rnacentral:rRNA from 1 species